rnacentral:rRNA from 1 species
UGGGGAAUAUUGCACAAUGGGCGAAAGCCUGAUGCAGCAACGCCGCGUGAGUGAUGAAGGUCUUCGGAUUGUAAAGCUCUGUCUUUUGGGACGAUAAUGACGGUACCAAAGGAGGAAGCCACGGCUAACUACGUGCCAGCAGCCGCGGUAAUACGUAGGUGGCGAGCGUUGUCCGGAUUUACUGGGCGUAAAGGGUGCGUAGGCGGAUGUUUAAGUGAGAUGUGAAAUACCCGGGCUUAACUUGGGUGCUGCAUUUCAAACUGGAUAUCUAGAGUGCAGGAGAGGAGAAUGGAAUUCCUAGUGUAGCGGUGAAAUGCGUAGAGAUUAGGAAGAACACCAGUGGCGAAGGCGAUUCUCUGGACUGUAACUGACGCUGAGGCACGAAAGCGUGGGUAGCAAACAGGAUUAGAUACCCUGGUAGUCCACGCCGUAAACGAUGAGUACUAGGUGUAGGAGGUAUCGACCCCUUCUGUGCCGCAGUAAAACACAUUAAGUACUCCGCCUGGGAAGUACGAUCGCAAGAUUAAAAC